rnacentral:rRNA from 1 species
GAUGAACGCUGGCGGCGUGCCUAAUACAUGCAAGUCGAGCGAACGGACGAGAAGCUUGCUUCUCUGACGUUAUCGGCGGACGGGUGAGUAACACGUGGAUAACCUACCUAUAAGACUGGGAUAACUUCGGGAAACCGGAGCUAAUACCGGAUAAUAUUUUGAACCGCAUGGUUCAAUAGUGAAAUACGGUCGUGCUGUCACUUAUAGAUGGAUCCGCGCUGCAUUAGCUAGUUGGUAAGGUAACGGCUUACCAAGGCAACGAUGCAUAGCCGACGUGAGAGGGUGAUCGGCCACAUUGGAAGUGAGACACGGUCCAGACUCCUACGGGAGGCAGCAGUAGGGAAUCUUCCGCAAUGGGCGAAAGCCUGACGGAGCAACGCCGCGUGAGUGAUGAAGGUCUUCGGAUCGUAAAACUCUGUUAUUAGGGAAGAACAUAUGUGUACGUAACUGUGCACAUCUUGACGGUACCUAAUCAGAAAGCCACGGCUAACUACGUG